rnacentral:misc_RNA from 1 species
GGUAGCGACGUCCUCGCGUGCAUUCCUCUUCAAUUAUUGGCACAAGAGCUUCGUUUUCCUUGGCCAAGUUGUUGGUUUCCUGUGCUGUAUACCUACAUCGAUGGAAUUUUUUGGGCAAUCAAUCCCAAGCUUUCCCACUGCUGCCCAUAUACACGGUGCGGCAUCGGGAAAACCUUGAAGCGAAAUUCGUGUUGCGAAUUGUAUAAAAUUGUCUAUGCAGUCUCGGCCCACGACCGUAGCUCGAUUUUGGGGAUUCAGAAAACACUGCGGGUAAGGGUCGUAUAACCCUCUAUUUGCCCACAAAUUGGCAUUACAUGCCCCAUUCGAUUGACUAUCGAUGUCUCAUAGAUGUUUUACAUCUUGCGACUCGAUGUCUCUGAGGAAUGCUACCUGGUUGAUCCUGCCAGUAGUCAUAUGCUUGUCUCAAAGAUUAAGCCA